UACGUAGGGUGCGAGCGUUGUCCGGAAUUACUGGGCGUAAAGAGCUCGUAGGUGGUUUGUCGCGUUGUCCCGUGAAAAACUCACAACUCAAUUGUGGGCGUGCGGGCGAUACGGGCAGACUGGAGUACUGCAGGGGAGACUGGAAUUCCUGGUGUAGCGGUGAAAUGCGCAGAUAUCAGGAGGAACACCGAUGGCGAAGGCAGGUCUCUGGGCAUUAACUGACGCUGGAGGAGCGAAAGCAUGGGAGCGAA
rnacentral:rRNA from 1 species